AGCGAACGCUGGCGGCAGGCCUAACACAUGCAAGUCGAACGGACCCUUCGGGGUUAGUGGCGGACGGGUGAGUAACACGUGGGAACGUGCCUUUAGGUUCGGAAUAGCUCCUGGAAACGGGUGGUAAUGCCGAAUGUGCCCUUCGGGGGAAAGAUUUAUCGCCUUUAGAGUGGCCCGCGUCUGAUUAGCUAGUUGGUGAGGUAAUGGCUCACCAAGGCGACGAUCAGUAGCUGGUCUGAGAGGAUGACCAGCCACACUGGGACUGAGACACGGCCCAGACUCCUACGGGAGGCAGCAGUGGGGAAUCUUGCGCAAUGGGCGAAAGCCUGACGCAGCCAUGCCGCGUGAAUGAUGAAGGUCUUAGGAUUGUAAAAUUCUUUCACCGGGGACGAUAAUGACGGUACCCGGAGAAGAAGCCCCGGCUAACUUCGUGCCAGCAGCCGCUGUAAAAC
rnacentral:rRNA from 1 species